rnacentral:rRNA from 1 species
GUGCACCAGUCGAGAAACUUUACAAUGUGCGAAAGCACGAUAAGGGAACUCUGAGUGCCUCCUAAGGAGGCUGUUCUGAUGUCUAAAAAGCAACAGAAGUAAGGGCUGGGUAAGACCGGUGCCAGCCGCCGCGGUAACACCGGCAGCCCAAGUGGUAGCCACGUUUAUUGGGUCUAAAGCGUUCGUAGCCGGCCAGGUAAGUUCCUUGGUAAAUUUAGCCGCUUAACGGUUAAGCUUUCAGGGAAUACUGCUUGGCUUGGGACUGGGGAGAGGUCAGAGGUACUCCGGGGGUAGGGGUGAAAUCUAUUAAUCCCUGGGGGACCACCGGUAGCGAAGGCGUCUGACCAGACCAGGUCCGACGGUGAGGGACGAAGGCUAGGGGCGCGAACCGGAUUAGAUACCCCCGUAGU